UACGUAGGGUGCAAGCGUUAAUCGGAAUUACUGGGCGUAAAGCGUGCGCAGGCGGUUCACUAAGACCGAUGUGAAAUCCCCGGGCUUAACCUGGGAACUGCAUUGGUGACUGGCGGGCUAGAGUAUGGCAGAGGGGGGUAGAAUUCCACGUGUAGCAGUGAAAUGCGUAGAGAUGUGGAGGAAUACCGAUGGCGAAGGCAGCCCCCUGGGCCAAUACUGACGCUCAUGCACGAAAGCGUGGGGAGCAAACAGG
rnacentral:rRNA from 1 species